UACGUAGGGUGCGAGCGUUGUCCGGAAUUACUGGGCGUAAAGAGCUUGUAGGUGGUUUGUCGCGUUGUUCGUGAAAUCUCACGGCUUAACUGUGAGCGUGCGGGCGAUACGGGCAGACUAGAGUACUGCAGGGGAGACUGGAAUUCCUGGUGUAGCGGUGGAAUGCGCAGAUAUCAGGAGGAACACCGGUGGCGAAGGCGGGUCUCUGGGCCACUACUGACGCUGAGAAGCGAAAGCAUGGGGAGCGAACAGG
rnacentral:rRNA from 1 species